ensembl:lncRNA
AGAGACGCAAGGUAAACUAGCUUGCACUCUGGAGGUGGUUCAUGAAUCAUCUCUCAAAUACAGGACUCAUCUGAUGAAGUACAACCUUUCUUUGGAUGUCUUCCGAUAAAGCUCUCCUUUCAUUUCCUCUCUUCUGCUCGCCCUCUUGUCCUCUCAUUUUUUUUUCCACCUCCCUAUGACUUUCUCCUCUCCUCCCCUCCCCUCCUCUGUUUUCCUCUUGUCUCCUCUCUCCUCUCCUCUUGCCUCCUCUCCUCUUCGCUCCUCUCAUCUCAUCUUGUCUCCUCUCUGUUCUCCUCCCCUGCUCCUCCCAUCUCCUCUCCUUACCUCCCCACCUCUCCUCUCUUCCCCUGUUCCUCUCCUCUCCUUCCUCUCCAUAUCUCCUCUCCUCUGUCCCCCCUGUUCUUCUCCUCUUCUAACUUCCCAGCAUCCCUUUUCUGCCGCUCUUGUCCUCAUCUAUUCUCUAACUGCCUUCUAAUUUC